UACGUAGGGGGCUAGCGUUGUCCGGAAUCAUUGGGCGUAAAGCGCGUGUAGGCGGCCCGGUAAGUCCGCUGUGAAAGUCGGGGGCUCAACCCUCGGAUGCCGGUGGAUACUGUCGGACUAGAGUGCGGAAGAGGCGAGUGGAAUUCCUGGUGUAGCGGUGAAAUGCGCAGAUAUCAGGAGGAACACCAAUAGCGAAGGCAGCUCGCUGGGACGUACUGACACUGAGGCGCGGAAAGCGUGGGGAGCGAACAGG
rnacentral:rRNA from 1 species